UAUGGUCGUAUCACGUUGAAACACCAGUUCUCGUCCCAUCACCGAAGUUAAGCAACGUCGAUCCCGGUCAGUAUCUAGAUAGGUGGCCGCUUGGGAAUCCCAAGUGCUGUAA